rnacentral:rRNA from 1 species
GACGAACGCUGGCGGCGUGCUUAACACAUGCAAGUCGAACGGAAAGGCCCUGCUUGCAGGGUACUCGAGUGGCGAACGGGUGAGUAACACGUGGGUGAUCUGCCCUGCACUUCGGGAUAAGCCUGGGAAACUGGGUCUAAUACCGGAUAGGAGCCAUUUUUAGUGUGAUGGUUGGAAAGUUUUUUCGGUGUAGGAUGAGCUCGCGGCCUAUCAGCUUGUUGGUGGGGUAGUGGCCUACCAAGGCGGCGACGGGUAGCCGGCCUGAGAGGGUGGACGGCCACAUUGGGACUGAGAUACGGCCCAGACUCAUACGGGAGGCAGCAGUGGGGAAUAUUGCACAAUGGGCGCAAGCCUGAUGCAGCAACGCCGCGUGGGGGAUGACGGCCUUCGGGUUGUAAACUCCUUUCGCUAGGGACGAAGCUUUUGUGACGGUACCUAGAUAAGAAGCACCGGCUAACUACGUG